GUUUGUUAGAGGCUUAUGUAUAUUUUUCCUAUCCUCACUUCUGCAUCUGUGGGGCAGACCCUCUCGUCGUAACUUCCCCUCUGCAUCUGAGGGGACGAUCGGGUAACGGAAUGGCUUCUCCGACAAAAUGGAAGCCGGAGCGACGCUCCUUCCUCGGCGGCCUCCGCUCGCCCUCGAACCCUUCAAUUUAUCUUUCAUUGAUUUCUGGAAGACCAUAAACAUAGUUUUCAUGGAGGUAAAGAUGCCAUGGAAUUUGAUAAUUUCACCUGAACUGCUCGUUGCAAAAGGAACUCUACUCCAUAAAGCUAUCAUCCUACGUCAUAUGGAUGACAUUGCAAUUAGAAAGGCAUCCGAGGAGCAGUUACUAGCUUGAACUCGAUAGGCGAAGGAAAGGUUCGAGACUUGCCAGGAGAUGUUCUCUUCCCUACCAGGAUCUGUGGCAUGGAGUAUAGCAUCAAGGAUUGGUUGAUCUCAAUCCUUGCACCUUGGGGUAUCAUGUAUGCUGCUUGAUGGUUUUGUCGUGGAUAGUUGACUAGCCCGUGACUGGAUUCCAGUACUUGGCAACUAAUGUGUUUCAGAUCAGGGUUGAUUGAUGCCUUCGUUCCUUGA